rnacentral:lncRNA from 1 species
AUGCACCCCGCGCUCCUUGCUAGGUCCGCGGCCCCGCCCCUGCACCGCCAACGCCUUCGCCUGAGAGGAGGGGCUGUGCUACGCCUGCUCCCGGGCCCGCAGGCUUCUGGCCGGCGAUCGCUUCCGGAACAUUGCCGGGCUCCCGCCUACCGGGCCACGCAAGCGGGGAAGAGUCUCCUCCACUUGGAGCGGGAAGGGACCCGAAAUUGCGCGGGUGCCGCCACAGAGCGAACCUGUUGGAGAAUGUACUUCUUGGAAAUGAAGAAGAUCCAGGGAACAGAAGGUUCACCAUGGAGGAGCAGGGAAGGGAAUUCCCAGCCUAUAGUGAAUCUACCACCUUUGUUGACUGCUUCUUCUUCCCUACUUAUUGCUAUAGAAGCUACCUGA